rnacentral:lncRNA from 10 species
CGCGCUCCAGACCCCCGGGGCGGCUGCCGGGAGAGAUGCUGGAAGAAACUUCUUAAAUGACCGCGUCUGGCUGGCCGUGGAGCCUUUCUGGGUUGGGGAGAGGAAAGGAAAGUGGAAAAAACCUGAGAACUUCCUGAUCUCUCUCGCUGUGAGACAUGUCUGAGACUCCUGCUCAGUGUAGCAUUAAGGUUUUUCAUCUGAAAAAUGAGGAUGCUGGUCUCAAUUUCUAAGGCCCCUUCCUGCCCAAACUUACCAGGAGGAAAGAAGCUGGAAGUAGAAAGCAGGAGAGGUUCAAAAAGAAAAUGGGAUGCAUCUCCUUUAGUAAGCUCUACUCUGGAGAAGGACGUUGUCCUUCAAGUACAAACCUUUUCACCGACUUGGGGAGUUUCCCCCCAUUGUAUCCCACCCCAUCUUUUUCUGCCAUCGUGCACUGUGUCGUUUGAAUGUGCUGCUUUGUCAGGGCUGGGGGCUUCCUUGGUGCUCCAGCUUGGCCACAUCCGACACACAGACCACCCCGUCCUCCUUCUGCCUCUAGAGGACCAAGAACAACCCUUGUUCUGAAAGCACCCUGUCCCUGAGCCUGAACACAUGACCCUGGAUGUCAGAAGAUGCUCUUCUCCAUUUCAAUUGCCCAAUUCCAG